rnacentral:lncRNA from 1 species
CUUGAAUUCAUCUGGCACUGUUGACCAACACAGAGAGCCAAAACACACACGGAAUUCAAAAUCAGAAAUAAUCCCAAGUUUGAGUCAUCCAAUGUGCUUGUCUACAUUGAUUGCACUCACCAGAUAAAAGUCCAAUGCACUCUGUGGGGUGAAACAGCCUCUGUCUCAGGUUGGGAGUUGCUGCCAUGGAGACCACAAGAGUGGAGAUUUUCUGACACACAGAAAGGAAUGGAUUACAGCUCCUUCUUAUGUAAAUUUCCAUGGAGGGGAAAAAAGAUUAAAAGGAAAAUAAUUCUGCUUUAGUCGUUUUCCUUUAAGGUGAUAAGAUCCUUUGAUUCCAUCGUGGAGAAGAAGGCAACAGCUGUUUGUCACAAAUGUGGGAAGCUGCUUCUUGGGCAGGGUGGAUUUCCAUCUGCGUCUCCUUUUCGGUGUUGAAAGCUGAUGGGAAAUGUGCCAACGUCACAACAAGGUUUGAGGGAGGCACAUCUCAUGCUCGGACAUGAACACCCGAUCAUCAUGCUUAUGAACUACAAAAGGAUCUCCAGUAUGGGCUCACGGCAGUUGGCCCUUGAAUAACAUGAAUUUGAACUGCCUGAGUCUGCUAAUAUGUGGAUUAUCUUCUGCUUCUGCACCCUGAGACAGCAAGACCAACCCUUCCUCUUGCUUCUUUUCCUUAGCCUAUUCAACGUGAAGAUGACUAAGGCAUGAAAAAACCCUGAAAAACUGAGCGUUUGCUUCUCAGCGACUCAGCUUGAAAGAGGCUGUUUUAAACUGGAAGAGGUUGAGAGGCCUUCAGUUGGUGAGUUUAUUAUUUUCCCUUGCUCCUCUGUGAAAUGAAGCUCAUGAAGAAGCGUAGGUCAGGUACAGAAUAUAAAAGAAUGACCUUUUCUUUUUCCUGGACAAUUUAAGUGCACUGUCAUCUCACAACCUCAAACUCUUUAAUAUGGUAAUGAGAGGCAAAAGGCAUUUUAAUUUGGAGCUAUGUCGCAGUUUUCCAGCAUGUGAAGAAAGCAUCCUCAGUUGCCAAAAGGUCACGUGUGGGAUUAGUUGCUAGGCUGUGGGAUUAUUUUUCUAGGCUUGCUGGGGAAAAGGGCAAAAGAGAAGAAGCAAACUAGCAGAGUCAUGUGGCGUUUCUGUCCUGGGACUUACGCAAAUUAUGCAAUUGUCCUUUGCAUUCAAAUCUGUUCCUCUUCCACCUGAUAUUUUGCUGAGGGGACAAGUGAAAUUCCAAAGCUCAGUUUGCUGAAGUGUGCAAAAUGCUAAUCAGCUUCCACAGCCCACAAAGUGGCAGAGAGGGCGUGCCUCUCUGGAGAAGAGAGGAGAGACUGGACUAGGAGCUGGGAGGAGUCUGGCUGACUCAGCGGCCCCAGACAAACGCACUUCCAUCCUUUCCCAUUUCCGUUGUGAACUCUUCUCCGUGGGCAAGAAGAGGACUCAGAACAACUGCUAUCUUUUUACAAAGAAGGAUGAUGUGCAAGGGGGUCAUUUACAAGAGGAUCAAGGGUUUGGCUAUGUUGGGAGAUGCUGAUUUUGAUAAAUGUUUCCAUAUCUCUACAAAUGUGCCUUUCUGAGUCUCCAGUUAGACUUGAAAAAGACUUUGGAGAUUGUCCCCUGCACAGUGGCUCUGAGCCUGGACACCUAGGAGAUGCUCAGUAAAUAUCUGUUAAAUAAAUGAAGGAAUGGAUAUAGUCCAAACUACUUGGUCAUGCAUCCAGUUUGUGGCAGAUUUGGGUCUCUAAGGCCCAGUACACUAAUCACUCAGCUGGGAGUUUUUAUUCUGUUCCAUCUUGCUGCUAGGACAACUGUAGCCACCCAGAAGGAUGUCUCAACGCUCUGGAAAGUUCUCUGGCUGAAUGUUGCUAUGAUACAAUCUUUUAACAAGCUGAUUGCUCAGUAGCAAGAGCAAGUGCUAUUUAUGUUGGGUAAAUAAGAAGAAAUGCUGCCCUACUGAUAUUUGUUAAGUGCCCCUUUAAUAUUUGUGAGGAGGCGAUCUUGACAAAAUUUUGAGAGUGUAUACACUGGCAAAUUUUACCUUUUAUGGACUGUAAUAUCCUAUUGCUACUUGAUUUAAAAAUCUUUCCCUCUCUUCACAUAUAUCCAUAUGAAAAAAAACAGCAGAGAGAGAUAUAUGUAUAUUAUAUGGGAGAUAUCUAUCUAUCAUCUAUCUAUCUCCCACUUAUGACCUGAAAGCCCCGUCUUUGAGAUGUUCUGCCUUUCCAGCCUAAAUCAAUGUAUACCUUACAUGUAUUGAUUUAUGUCUUUGCCUGUAACUUCUGUUUUCCUAAAAUGUAUAAAACUAAACUGUAAUUCAGUCACCUUGGGUACACUUUCUCAAGCUUUCUUGAGACUGUUUCCCAGGCCAUGGUCAGAAUAAAC